rnacentral:sRNA from 1 species
GUUGCUACCGGAAUGCCCCUUCAGGUUAGCGAUUACAGCUGGCAGCAGACGAAGACUGCCGUCUUUCUGUCUCUGCCCCUCAAAGGCGUGUGCGUCAGAGACACGGACGUGUUCUGCACGGAAAACUAUCUGAAGGUCAACUUUCCUCCAUUUUUAUUUGAGGCAUUUCUUUAUGCUCCCAUAGACGAUGAGAGCAGCAAAGCAAAGAUUGGGAAUGACACCAUUGUCUUCACCUUGUAUAAAAAAGAAGCGGCCAUGUGGGAGACCCUUUCUGUGACGGGUGUUGACAAAGAGAUGAUGCAAAGAAUUAGAGAAAAAUCUAUUUUACAAGCACAAGAGAGAGCAAAAGAAGCUACAGAAGCAAAAGCUGCAGCAAAGCGGGAAGAUCAAAAAUAUGCACUAAGUGUCAUGAUGAAGAUUGAAGAAGAAGAGAGGAAAAAAAUAGAAGAUAUGAAAGAAAAUGAACGGAUAAAAGCCACUAAAGAAUUGGAAGCCUGGAAAGAAUAUCAAAGAAAAGCUGAGGAGCAAAAAAAAAUUCAGAGAGAAGAGAAAUUAUGUCAAAAAGAAAAGCAAAUUAAAGAAGAAAGAAAAAAAAUAAAAUAUAAGAGUCUUACUAGAAAUUUGGCAUCUAGAAAUCUUGCUCCAAAAGGGAGAAAUUCAGAAAAUAUAUUUACUGAGAAGUUAAAGGAAGACAGUAUUCCUGCUCCUCGCUCUGUUGGCAGUAUUAAAAUCAACUUUACCCCUCGAGUAUUCCCAACAGCUCUUCGUGAAUCACAAGUAGCAGAAGAGGAGGAGUGGCUACACAAACAAGCUGAGGCACGAAGAGCAAUGAAUACUGACAUAGCUGAACUUUGCGAUUUAAAAGAAGAAGAAAAGAACCCAGAAUGGUUGAAGGAUAAAGGAAAACCUGAAAGAUGUCUGAAAAUUCCAGUGACAGUGAUUCAUCUUGUGGUUGGACUGUCAUCAGUCAUGAGGGGUCAGAUAUAGAAAUGUUGAAUUCUGUGACCCCCACUGACAGCUGUGAGCCCGCCCCAGAAUGUUCAUCUUUAGAGCAAGAGGAGCUUCAAGCAUUGCAGAUAGAGCAAGGAGAAAGCAGCCAAAAUGGCACAGUGCUUAUGGAAGAAACUGCUUAUCCAGCUUUGGAGGAAGCCAGCUCAACAGUUGAGGCAGAGGAACAAAAGAUACCCGAAGACAGUAUCUAUAUUGGAACUGCCAGUGAUGAUUCUGAUAUUGUUACCCUUGAGCCACCUAAGUUAGAAGAAAUUGGAAAUCAAGAAGUUGUCAUUGUUGAAG